UUGUUUGAUCCCAAUCUCACUGCUCCCGAUCUGCUAAAAAAACUCACUGCUCCCGGUCGGAGUUGACGCCGCCGCCGCCUCCUCCCGUCUCGUGUCGUGGGCCCCUCCAAAGGCCUAGCAGCAUCGCCAUGGAAGGUCGCCGGCUCCGGCCACCGCAGCCGCGGACGCGGCGAGGUGGAGGGACGUGACCUGAGUGGCGCCGCUGCCGCAGCCCCCGUCGACAAGUUGGCGCUCCUCCCCGCCUUCCUCGAGGUACACGUGUGUCAUUUGUCCCGGAAUGGCAGAACCAAGCUCAGUUUCCUCCUACUCCGUUCCAGCGACCCCCUGGGCCGCCGAUCGGACCGAGGGGUGCAGACUUCAGGCAGAAUGUUAGAUAGAUCACAGGGGGCACAUCAGGAUUCGAGUGUGGGAGGGAGGAGCAAUAGUUCUGGUCACAAGUCUGCACAUACUCCAGUUAAGUUGGAGGUUCAGUCAAAACAAACCAGUGGUACAGUUGCUUCUUCAGUGGGAGGAAUUGGGCGUACACAGGAUGUUGCUGCAGAGGGGAAUGGAGCAAAGUCUGGCACAGGAUGUACUAGAUGCUUAAAAGCUGGUCAUAUGAUUAAGGAUUGCACUGAGUAUUUGUUCUGCAUUUAUUAGGGUCUCUAAAAUCACGGAUGAUCUUGGAGCUAUUUUCAAAUUAAGUACUGUAUGGGUACAAGUCUUUGGUGUACCUGAGUCUUUUCAUCACAGGGAUUGGUUUGCUGAGGUUGCUACUCUCAUAGGAACUUUCAUAGAUGCUGACAUGAAAGGUUUCUGGGAGAAUGCUAUUAUCAGAAUCAAAUGUGGAGUUAAAGAUCCCAGCAAAAUACCCGGUAUUGCAGAAUUUACUGAUAAAAAUACUUUGCUAGUGUACCAUGUGGGCUUUGAACUAGAGAAGAUUGAGGAAGAAGGGGGACAUUUGAUUGAUGGAAAACUACUUCUUAUCUCUGAUUUUAACAAAGAAUUGCAAAGAAAUGAAGAGGGCAAAAACUGCUCAACAAGAAGGAUUGUUGUCACCUAGUGCGGGGUUUGAGAAAAAGAGGGCAAGUAAGCAAAAAGUAAAACUUACAGAUGAAGCUGGAUGUGUGAUAUCCAGUCAGGCUAGUUUAGACAGAAAAAUGGAAGAGCUUAGGGAAAAUAUGUUCAUUAAGAAAAAGCUAGAAGAGGAAAGAAAAGAAAAUACUGGAGAGUUGGAUAAGCUAGAUUUUGAGCAGAAAUAUGACGAUUUGGAACUCAAGAGAUGUUAUACAAAGACAGAGGAGGCUUGUUCAGAAAAUCCUGAGAAGGAAAAGGCUACUGGUCCUACAACUGAAGUGGAAGUUGUGCAUUGGAAAGAUGAACUGAUUGAACCAAAGAAAAACAGGAAAGGGGACAAAAAUAAGGGUAACACUGUAGAGGAGAGGAGGCCAAGCGACAGGACAGAUACUGAUCAUAACAUGAUGGACAAGACCAUGGAGAGAGCGAGACUCAAGAACUUGGGAGGAUUGCAAGGUACACUGGAAUACGUGUCGGCGUGCCCUCGAUACGUUCAGAGUUUAGCGCUGAGACUCUCACACUGCAAGUUUGCCGCUUAUCGAUCGCAUGUAAGUUUGAGCAUCUUGGCGGCAUUGAGGCAUAUGACGUUCACCCUUGGCCUUCAGUUCCCAUGAACUGCUAACGAAACAACGCCUGACGUCGUGAGUGUGGUCACGUUCUGCACCCAAGCAACCGCCCUCCUCCAUUCUCCUCCAGCAGCAGCAAAAGGUCUGGCCCAUCGACGAUGACGGCUCCUCCUUGUGCUCAUCGGCCUCGUGCCCAAGUGCUCUGCAAGUCUGCAUCGGAGAUGGAAAUGAACAGGAGAGAGACAAGCAAAUUGGAGAAGGGGAAGAGCAAGAACAAGAGUAUAUCUACACCUGAAAUAAAUUGGAAUUAAUGGUCCUAAAUUGCAAAGUACAAGAAUUUCGUGACGGAGGGAGUAUGAAGUUGCACUGAAGGAGAAAGACUUUGUUGAGGGUGCUUGGUCACGGAACAACUUAGACAAUGGAGCUGGUUUUUUAAUACCUGUACCAGCUCCACUCGGUGGUGUCAUAAUUAUUGGUGAGGAGACAAUGGUUUACUGAAUGAAUCAAUUGCCCUAUUGUUAAUCAAAUAGUUACACGUCUCCCCCACUCCCCACUCAUCAAAACUUUGUCUACCACUACUUGGCUUUUUAUUUUACUCCGAGGUUCCACACUUCUUCCUUUUUACUGAGUGAAUCAAUUGCCCUAUUAUGUCCAUGUUCAGUUCUUCAGUUCAUUAUACUUGCAGAAAUUAAGUAGCUCGAUUCAUUCUAAGUGCCAGAAAGUGUUUGUCAUUCUGGUAGGAUUAAAUAAUUAAGUUGACUUCUUGCAUGCUGUAAAAGUAAACAGGGAGACAUGGGGCAGGCGUUCUUGAUAUCAGAGUAUGACCUGGGAGGAGAAGGGAACCUGUUCAAGGCUCCAGAACCCAUAACUGAAGAAUCGCUGCUCACCCUCGAUGAUGUCCGGCAGUGGCAACACAAUGGAUGACACCAUCAAGGGCUCCGACAUGGGCCUGAGCGAGAUGCUGUAUGAGUGCGAGAAGGAGCUCAUGGAGAAGUCGGCGAUCGAGGAGACGAUAUCCGAGCUGCUGGACGUCAAGAUCCCCAUGCUGCAGGUCGAGGACGUCCUGGAGAGGUCAGGGCAAGGAUCAUCGACCAAGGGGUCGCAGCCAUGGAUGAUAAUGCUGUCAAAGGUAACCAGGUGCUGCUGCUGCUAAGUGCCAUCGAUGCCAUUGUUGUUGACAAUCAAGACAAGGGAGUGGAGCAGUGUGUCACUCGUGACUUACUUGGGAACCAUGGAGAAUGGUGCAUGAUGACCUUCUGGAUGAUCAGCAGGUGGUGGAGCAAGGUGUCAUUGACCAUGGAUGAUAAUGCUGUCAAUGGUCAACAGGUGGUGCUGCUGCCUAAGUGUCGUUGAAAUAUUGCACACCACGGCAGAUGACAUUGUUGUCGAGGAUCAGGAAAAGGAAGUGGAGCAAUGCGCCACUUAUUACUUGGGAACCAUCAAGAAUGGUGAUGCUGUGGGUGGGUGAUCAGCAGAUGCUGGAGCAAGGUGUUGUCGAUUUAACCAUGGAUGAUGGAUGAUUCUGUCGUGGAACACAAAGUGGCGGAGGAAGGUGUUGUCGAUUUAACCAUGGGUGAUUAGGAACGUGGCUAUGUAAUGGAGCAAGUUCUCAAAUGGGGUACAUCCAGUGAUGCUGCUGCUACUGCUUUGGAAGAUCAGAAGAAUGAGGCUGAGCAAUGCAUCAGCGAUGAACAGAUAGCAGGUAAGGACAUGGAUGGUGUUCAUGUUGAGAGGAAUAUGCUGGAGCAAAGGACCCGUGACAAACAGGGAGCAACAGAGUCUGAUUUCACUGCUGAAAAGCACAAGGAUGUAGGUCUGCCAUGAAUUGGGUGCACCUGAGGGCUCAUGUCAGAUGUUAUUAUCAAGGAGAUCCCACAUAAUAGUUGCUCAUGUUGGCUCCAGCUUUAUCAUUUCCUUUGAAUCUUGUCACACAAGGCCAGCCAGGUCACAGGUCACAGGGGCUGUAGUCAGGCGUGAGGGAAGAGCUGGUUUAGGUGGAGGUAAUGAUGUGAAUUUCUGUGGUGCAACAACUACUAGACUGCGAUCAGCAAGGGACUCUUCAGCAUAGCAGUAGUAAUGGCCUUGAGAAUGACCGUCCAACCUAUAUUUUGCGACAUGUUUGAUACUGCUUCUUUUAAUAUUCGAGCUCAGAUGAACCCAACAUAUUAUGAUUCAUUUGAUAUGCACAUGCACGGGAUUUGCAAGGAGCAUGAAACAACACAUUGAAGAAAAUUUCCUUUGAAGCAUAGUAGAUUAAUAUAAAUAUGUGUUUUUUUUCACUGUUUGAUCCAUUGAUCAAGGGAUGAAUGGGAACUUGAUAGCAGAAGUAAUGGCCUUGAAAUGACCGUCCAACCAUCGCAAAAAGAAGAAGAGAAUGACUAUCCAACCUAUAUUUUGUGACAUGUUUGAUACUGCUUCUUUUAACAUUCGAGCUCAGAUGAACCCAACAUAUUAUGAUUCAUUUGAGUGGCUAUGCAGGGAGGAGCAUGAAUCUCCAGAAGUAUGGUCCCAUAUUUGUGUUCAGAAGCUUGCAGAACUGGCCAAACAGAGUACAACUAUGCGAUGCAUCCUUAUUCCAAUGUUUUCUUACUUUGAUAUGAUGAAGGAACAAUGGGCUCCUCAGCAUGGACUAGCUUUGCUUGUCUUGUCUGAUAUGUCUUAUCUACAGAAGAGUUCAGGCAACGAACAAUUGAUUUUGACUGCUGUCAUCCGUCAUCUGGACUACAAGAAUAUUUUGCACUGUCCUCAGACUAAAUCUGAUAUUAUUCAGACAGCGACAUCUUUGGCACGACAGCUGCGAUCAUGAGGAGUUGCUCCUGAACUUGCAGUAGCAGGUGACUUGUGAAUUCACUUGAGGAAGACACUAGAGGCUGUGGAGUCAGCCAGUGUUGAAGAGCUGAGCUUGAAUGAGUCUUCAAAAUUUCCUGGAUGGCUGUCUUGUUGAAGUCGUAAGAGGAGUUAAAGAUGUGCGGCCACUCUAUGACAUGAUGGCAAUUACAUUGGAGAAUUUGCCUUCUAUGCCUGCUGUUGUCAGAACAACUAUUGGAAGUUUCUCUCUCAAAAAAAAAACUAUUGGAAGUUUGCUGAUACUUUGCCACAUAAUCUCUUUAACAUCAGUAUCUACAGACGCUCCUAUGGUGUUUCCAGAAGCACUCCUCCAUCAGAUAUUGAUAUCCAUGGUACAUCCAGACGCAGACACUCGUGCGGGGGCGCACCACAUAUUUUCUGCUGUAAUUUUCCGAGGCCCAAGCCAUCAGAGGGAAGAGCAAAGGCACAGCGCCUUAGCCUACCAUAUCUGCCACUCAUUCUACAUCCGACGCACAGGAUUGAUGAGUGCAAAACACACCCAGACUUGGUAGUUUUCAGACUUUCAAUGUCAUGACCUUCUCUGAUUGUUUCAGAUUUUGAAAGUCAAGUGCUUCCAAUAGGACUAGUUUUGCAUGUUAAGUGAUACAGAUCGUACAAGUUUCUUUGAUAUGUGUGUUUCAUCAGGAAAGUCUUGGAUUUGUUGAACCUGCUGUGCUUGUUGCGCUCCAGUUUCUUGACGAUUUGCAGCAUGAUUGAGGUGCCUUGGGAGUUCCAUCCAGAUUUAGCUCUUUUCCUUGAUGGCCCUGCAAGGUGGCUGAUCCAUGAGGAGCUGGUUGUGGCCUGUCCGCUGUACUAGGGGAGGGGCUGAGGAGUUUCUGACCGUGGAGCCGUGGUGACAGUACUUGCUUGGCCAGAGUCACUGUUCUGCACAUCUUCAGUUUCAGUUUCUGAUGUUCAGCUGCAAAGGUUCGAGAUCCAGCUCACCGGUUGCCUCCGAAUCUGUGAUGUUUGUCAUGACUUCAACAGAAGACUGAUGAACUACAGAGUAUAGUUCUGCUUGCUGUUGAAUUCCAAGCCGAGGGAGAAAUAGGGGGGAUUCUACCACCGUUGCCAGCAACCAGCCUAUCGUUCCCUAAGCUCACCUGCCGCCGGAUGGUGCACGAGAAGGGUAGGGUGAGUGGGAUUUUAUACUGAAGAAAGGCUCUUUAGAAACCACUCCCUGGCCGAUUCUUGCACCCGAACAUUUACCGCUACCGAAACGCCACCGGAAGAAUGCCGCCGCCGGACCUUGCACAUGUCAAAUCGCCGCCGUUUGGCGAGGAUUGCAGGCUCUUGAUACCAAUUGAUAGGUCCUAGCUACGGAUCUGUCGAAUUAGAACGCAGAACAGAGAAAAGUAGUCCACUUUGGGAGGUUGAAUCGCUCAAGAUUCAAGCUACAGUGGCUAGGGUUCGUCGCCAGCCGGAACACGGCGGCUUGGGGAACACCCCUACCUAUUACAAGAUAUGGAUCACAUCGAUCCCAAAUGGGGCUUUAAUAGCCUGGAGAAGUUGCUAGAAGGUUGUCGGAAAAGCUAACAGUGACACUCGGGCACUCGCUAGCCAUCGGAUGGCUGAUCAGCGGCUUGGAGUGGCGAUCCGUGACGAAGCGGCAUGAAGCGUCAACAGCCGGUGGAUGCCGAUCGAGGGGUUGGCAUUGAAUCCGACAAGGGCGAUAGAAGCGCUACAGUAGAAGUGUUGUGUUCUUCAGUUAUCUUCAGGCUGAGGUCCUGACACGCUGCACCUCACCGCAACGCUAGGAGAUGGCGGCGCAGACCUGCUGCUGCCACUCGUGAGCCCGUGCUGUUGUCGCUCGCGAGCCCGUGUGCGUCCCUGCUGUUGAAAUAUGGGUCACUGAUUGUAGUGUAAAACGAACGUCCUCAAGGGAUUGUAACUGAACUUCUACCUUUUCAAUGCAAAGAAAUGCAAAGGUGUAUUUCCUGAA